UGAAAAGCUAAUGAUCAAAUGAUACAUUGUAUGUGUUCAGCACAACUAGAAUGCAAAUCUUACAUUAUCCACAAAAACUCUAAAUAUGACAUAACACCAGGAAGAGUGCCUUAUUUUCUAUGCAGAGCAUACUUUCAAUGACUAAACGCGACAUGACAUUUCCUAUAGACUGAAACAGGCUACAGCUGUUCUACUACAUCUAGUAAGAACGUUUAAAGUGAAAAUCAGUACAGUGAAAUAUAACUUGUCAUGUUUUCAAUCAUGUCUAUAAAUAUGAAGUCUGAUCUAAAAGUAAUGCCUCCUGUUUUAUUAUGAUGGCCCACAACAUCAGAGACAGAAGUUGGUGAUAAGGCUUUAGAGAUUGAACCUUCCCACCGAUAACCCCUUACAUUUUGUUGCUGUGCAAUAGAUGGCAGCAGAGGGGCAGCUGGCAAACUGCUGUCUGACAUGGAAGCGUGUAAUGAGCAAAGGUGUGUAACUCAAUUCCUCCGUGUAGAAAAAAGCGGCACCCGCUGACGUUCAUUGAUGCCUGCUGAAUGUUUAUGGAGACAAAACAGUGGAUAUGAGCACAGUGAUGACAAGCCAUGUUCUGGAUGGCCAUGCAGGUAUUUAAGACGCACCUGCUGCUGUUAGAGUUGAGUGGUGAGCGGCGCAGGGUGCUCUGGGAGAGCGGAGUUGGGAAGGGGAACUGCCGCGUCAGCCGCAGCUGGGAGAGGGGUGCGAGAUGUGGGAGGAACGGCCGUGCAGGCACCGAGGUAUUUUGAUAUAGGUUUUGUGUUUUCUUGUUUUUCUUCAUCUGAAUGAAGGCAGGAAAAUAGAGGUUCUGGUGUAACACCACCUAAUACCUCCCAGUCUUUGAGAAUGUUCAAAACACUAUUGAACAGGCAAUAAAACUGCAAGAUUUAAAAACCCUCCUGUGAUAUUUCCUCCUGCAGCAUGUCAGGAUGCUGAAAUACCUAUCUUACUCUUGGUACCAGACCAUUCUUCUACAAUGUGGCUAUCAGAGUACUCUCCCUGUACCUCCCUUUGGAUUCAGGGUUGCAUCAUGCUCCUAUAAAAUUUCUACUUUCAUUUGGAUAAAAGUGAUAUCAACUUCUAGCUGUGCCUCAUCCUUCUUGAGUUCAGAUGAAAACUUCAGAUGAGGAGACAGAAGAUAUAUAGAGACAAGGGCAAAACCAGAACUUUGAGUGCCUGAUUCAUUGUCAGUAAUGUAAGUAUCCUUAGUCUAUAGGCUAAUAGCUGUCUUGUGUGAAUUUAUCUAAAGUAAUUUUGAACCUGGUAAUAUCAGAAUAUGAUGCAGUGGUUGCUGUUUCUCAUAUGUGAUGUGCUGCCUGUCUUACACGGAGUUAGACUUUGCUUACCCAAAAUAGAAGAAAGUUAGUUUGCAUCUAUAUUCAGAUGUUAAUGCUGAAGUCCAUAUUUUCAGCACUAGUCAGGUAAUAGCAACUUCAGGAAGCUAUACAUAUAAAAUACUGUUUCAAGAGUUGAAACUUACACCUCAGCUCUUCGGGUUACUGGUCAAUCUUUUUUGCCAUAACCUCUCAAAUAUAUUGAAAGAAUAAGAAAUGUUAUUGUUCAAAACUAUCACAGCCAAUUCAUACAAAAUAUUCAUCACCCUUACUCUAUUUUCAUGCAGUAUCUUUACUCUUGUUAUGAUUCCAAGUUUUUGUUGUUUUUCUUCACUGAAAUAAAAGCGGUUAUUCAUUAGGUUCA
rnacentral:lncRNA from 1 species